rnacentral:rRNA from 1 species
ACGCACGCUGGCGGCAUGCCUAACCCCUGCAAGUCGAACGAGACCUUCGGGUCUAGUGGCGCACGGGUGCGUAACGCGUGGGAACCUGCCCUUAGGUUCGGAAUAACUCCCCGAAAGGGGUGCUAAUACCGGAUAAUGUCUUCGGACCAAAGAUUUAUCGCCUUUGGAUGGGCCCGCGUUGGAUUAGCUCGUUGGUAGGGUAAAAGCCUACCAAGGCGACGAUCCAUAGCUGGUCUGAGAGGAUGAUCAGCCACACUGGGAGUGAGACACGGCCCAGACUCCUACGGGAGGCAGCAGUGGGGAAUAUUGGACAAUGGGCGAAAGCCUGAUCCAGCAAUGCCGCGUGAGUGAUGAAGGCCUUAGGGUUGUAAAGCUCUUUUACCCGGGAUGAUAAUGACAGUACCGGGAGAAUAAGCUCCGGCUAACUCCGUG